rnacentral:lncRNA from 1 species
GUUAAUCCGCGAUAAGGGACCAUACUAUUUAUGGAUCGUGCUUGGUUAAUCUGCGAUAGGCGAUCCUUAUAUCUUUGGUAUGGCCACACACACACACAGAGUUAGGGGUGAUCAUGCUUUGUUAAACCACGAUAGGUGAUCACUGCCUAACAGAUGCGUAAAAGUGACUCUGCUUGGUUAAUUCGCAAUAGGGGUCACUGCCUACUUGGUUACUAUAGGGGUGGUUCUGCUUGGUUAAUCCACGAUAGGGGGCCACUUCCUGUUUGGUUACUUAUGUAGGCUUCGGCCGAACUGGCAUCCCUCUAUCCCUAGUUUUUAAUGUAUUUCUAAAUGAUGGUUUUAAGAAUCUUAUGGUUGAAUUAG